UAACAAAGGUCUUGGGGUUCUACUCUCUAGU
rnacentral:piRNA from 1 species